UAUAUGUAGGGCCGCUUCCUUGAGGUCCCCUCCCCACUCCGGCCUUUACUUGAGACCUCCCGCCGGAAUUGGUCCCGGCAACUGGCCCAGCGGGUUUUAGUUUGUUUUACUCUUUUUCUGCUAAUU